rnacentral:rRNA from 1 species
CGCUGGCGGCGUGGAUAAGACAUGCAAGUCGAACGGGAUAUUCUUUGUAGCAAUACAAAGGAUGUCUAGUGGCGUAAGGGUGCGUAACACGUGGGCAAUCUGCCGAGAAGUGGGGGAUAGCUCGCCGAAAGGCGAAUUAAUACCGCAUGUGGCCAGCGAAGACAUAUUCGCGACGCCAAAGCCGGGGCAACCUGGCGCUUCUUGAUGAGCCCGCGGCCUAUCAGCUUAUUGGCGGGGUAACGGCCCACCAAGGCUAUGACGGGUAGCUGGUCUGAGAGGACGACCAGUCACACUGGAACUGAGACACGGUCCAGACACCUACGGGUGGCAGCAGUCGAGAAUUUUUCUCAAUGGGGGAAACCCUGAAGGAGCGACGCCGCGUGGAGGAUGAAGGUCUUCGGAUUGUAAACUCCUGUCAUUUGGGAACAAUUGUCACCGGUUAACUGCCGGGGGCUUGAUAGUACCAGAAGAGGAAGGGACGGCUAACUCUGUGCCAGCAGCCGCGGUAAUACAGAGGUCCCAAGCGUUGUUCGGAUUCAUUGGGCGUAAAGGGUGCGUAGGUGGCGGGGUAAGUCAGGUGUGAAAUCUCGGGGCUCAACCCCGAAACUGCACUUGAUACUGCCUUGCUCGAGUACUGGAGAGGAGAUUGGAAUUUACGGUGUAGCAGUGAAAUGCGUAGAUAUCGUAAGGAAGACCAGUGGCGAAGGCGAAUCUCUGGACAG